AAGACUAUAUGGUAGCUUUGGUAUCUCGCGUCAACAUUGAUUUCUCCUGAAUUGUGCCUCGGUGAGUUCCGAGGUUUUU
rnacentral:ncRNA from 1 species